ensembl:misc_RNA Metazoa_SRP Metazoan signal recognition particle RNA
GCCAGGCAUGGUGGUGCAUGCCUGUAAUCCCAGCUACUUGGGAGGCUGAGGCAGGAGAAUCGCUUGAACCCAGGAGGCGGAAGUUGCAGUGAGCCGAGAUCGUGCCACUGUACCUCCAGCCUGGGUGACAGAGCAAGACUCUGUCUCGA